GUCGGUAUGAUGGAAUUGGCAGACGUGGCGGACUCAAAAUCCGCUGGUAGCGAUACCGUGCGGGUUCAAGUCCCGCUACCGGCACCA
rnacentral:tRNA from 1 species